UACGUAGGGUGCAAGCGUUGUCCGGAAUUAUUGGGCGUAAAGAGCUCGUAGGCGGUUUGUCGCGUCUGCUGUGAAAACUCGGGGCUUAACUCCGGGCCUGCAGUGGGUACGGGCAGACUAGAGUGCGGUAGGGGAGACUGGAAUUCCUGGUGUAGCGGUGGAAUGCGCAGAUAUCAGGAGGAACACCGGUGGCGAAGGCGGGUCUCUGGGCCGUUACUGACGCUGAGGAGCGAAAGCGUGGGGAGCGAACAGG
rnacentral:rRNA from 1 species